UCACCCCCAGCUCUCGGGGAGUCUCCUGUGUCUCCCAGCUACUCUCCAAACAACCCCAGAUUUCAGCUGGAGUCAGCCCUCCACACCCAGGAAUCACCUACAAACUCACGAGCCUCACGGUGCUCCUCCCCUAUGUCUUUCAACUCUUCACCCCCAGGCCUCAGGGACUCUCCUGUGUCUCCCAGCUUCUCUCCAGCCUUCCCCAGAUUUCUGCCACAGUCAGCCCCAGGCACACAGGGGAACCCUGGACACUCACAGGCCUCACGAGACUAUCUCCCUAUGACCUGUAUCUAUACAGGGAUGGCUCCCACGCAUCCCUCAGUGACCCCAAACCCAUCUCCACUUACACUCAGACACUCCCAGGGCCUGACAGCUACUCCCCGUUAUUGUCCUUCAGUUCGAAGCCCUGGCCAAUCUACCAGCCAACAUGAUGCAGCUACCUGGCCAUUUCUCCACAUUUCUGGUGAGGGCCCCACACCCAGCCGCAGAAAAGCCCCUCCUGCAUUCCAUCCUCACACACAGGCCUGUCCAUCCACUUGCUACUGUCACACUCUUGCCAGCAGAAGAGGCCCCUGUAAUGGCCGAUAUCACCGCCCAGUCUAUCCUCACCCCACAGCUAUGCAGCGGGACCCUCCUGCUGGCCCACGUGGCUGCCAGAGCCCAUGCUGGCACUACACUCCAGCAUGUCGGCGUCCCUGCGGGCCACACUACCGGUGA
rnacentral:lncRNA from 1 species